GGCGGUUCUCAGGUGACGCACCCUGGAAACAGGCUCCCUCCUCUCUGGUUCUGGGUGUGUUACCUGACACCUGCA
rfam:Myotis lucifugus cont2.66835, whole genome shotgun sequence.